AGGUUCUGCAGAAGAACAAGGAGAGAAGCAUGUCUGCAAACUGUGCUCAGAACCAGAACUUUCCUGAUGGUCUGUUCACCCCACCCCACCCCGCGCUAUUCGCUGCAUAGAACAGAGAGUCCUGCUGAACUUCAACGAAUUGAACAUGAAAUAUCCCUCCUCAUCUCUAACCCUGAACACUGAGUGUGCACGUCAACAUGCAUGUGCACGUAUGCAUGUGCAUGUGUGUGAGCUAUGGAUUUUCUCUCCUUCAUUGCAGCUUUCUCUCAGCUCUGCAGUGGAGCUGAUGCAGAGCCUCAAAGAGCGUUAGCAUAACAUAAAAAAUUCAACAGGAAAGUGCUGAGUUGUUACUUUUGAUCAGCCGCCACUUUCCAACAAACAUUCCAACUGCAAUGCUGCCGGCCUACGGAGAACGCCGCCGGCCUACGGAGAACGCUGCCGGUCUACGGAGAACGCCGCCAGCCUACGGAUAGGUCUACGGAGAACGCCGCCGGUCUACGGAGAACGCCGCCGGCCUGCGGAGAACGCCGCCGGCCUGACGGGAGAACCGCACAGAAACACCUGAGAACAGACAGUAUACGGACCGUCCAGAACCAGAACCUGUGACCAUCACGGUUCUUAGAAUCAAACUGACAAAACUAGAAAGAAAAUCCUUUUAGUGAACUGAUAUAAUGAAAUGUAUUUCAUGACGGCUGUGGUUCCUAUAAAAACAGGAAGUUCUGAUACUCAGCUGGUCUGGACCAGCAGUUGACCCGGAACAGUGAGAUCGGACCAACUGCUGAUUAGAGCAAGAAUGUGAAAAUAUCUGAAUCUGAAGUUACGAUCUUUUAAAAGAAUGUCAUUGUUUGAAAACGGAGAAGAAUACAGCUGUAAAUCUAUUGAAUGAAUAGAACUCCAUCAACCUUUGAGGUCCAGAACGUGUUCCUGAACCACGGGCCAUGGUGGUCCGGUACCGGACCACAGAAAUGAAGAACAUAACCUCUUUCUAUCUAUCUAUCUUGGUCUAGAGUAAUGAAGAUCAGGAUGUUCAGAGGAACGUUCCUGAAUCCGUCUGUGACAGAGUUCUGUUCAUCUUCUGGUCAGAACCAAACGUUCUCCUGCUGCUUCACAUGAAGAGAUGUUUGAAGUGUCUUCCUGAUCAUCUGGUCCGGUCGUUGACAGCAGGUCCUUGUUUUAAAGGGUUCUGGGGGGUUUCUGUUGACCUGCUUUGUGUCUUUCUGAGAAUUCUCCAAAGAUUUGCAACAAUCAAAUCCCAGAAUUUUAAAAUGAUGAAAUUGCUGGUCUGGAAAAUAUAGAGUGAAGAAACCAAAUAGAUCCUGAAAUGUAAGAAAAAACAUUCACUGCAAGCAUAGAAAGAGCAUUGAGAGGGUCAGGGUGAAGCGGUUCUGAUGGAUGCAGGAAGUGGAAAUGUGAUGAAGAUCAGACGGUCGACCACGCAGCCGUUUGACUGGCUGUGAUCACCAGACUCAAGAACUGCUCUGAUGUUCUCUGAAGCUCAACCGAACUUUCUUCCUGCUCCCCCCUCGGAGGCGGAGCUCCAGCUGGUGGUCUUGGGGAGUCAGCCCAGGACAUGCUUUCAUCCCUGGGGUCGGACGCUGGUGUGCUGGGACGCUGCCUUAAAGCUUCACUAACAUUAAAGUGACAUAGAGAAAGUUCUGGUUCCUUUGGGUCCAAUUACUUCAGAUUUACAGAAAGAUCCAAAGAUGAUGAGAACACUGAGGAACACGGAGAUCUGGGUCAGGAUCUGGGACGGUGUGAAUAUUGAUGCUCACAUUAAUAAAACAAUCACUGGAAUCGUUUCAGAAACUCUCGUUUGUGUUUCCCAGCAGCUCUGUGUCCUGCAUGUGAAAGAACAGAACCUCUGACCCGGCCGCUGGUGCUCCUCACCUGGAGAACCCCCCCCCCAGAGUCAAGGAGCGUCUGUGGAGAUCCUACUCCAUCUUUACAGACCUGGGCUGGGGGGUGGGGUGGGCUGUAUUCAAGCCCCCACACUUCUCCUACUGGACCUCCCCCCCCUUUAAGAAGUAUGGGUCUUCAGGAAUGUGUGGAAAGGACUGGGGGGUUCUGAGGAAGAAUGAUCAGAACCUUCUCUCCAGGAUGUCUCAUCCAGAAGGAAUGUGACCUCAUGGAUGCGUCUGCAGAGCGAGGCUCGGAGGCCCGUUACGUAACCACAGACAUUAUGUAAUGUGUUAUGAGAGGACCGGUAGAAGAAUGCAGACUGCACUCAUCCAGAACCAGGAGCAUCCAUGAUGGUCCAAACUCGGUUCUUCUGGGUUUCUCUGACACAUUCGUGGCUUUAGCUUUAAGCUCUGCAGAGUUUUGGACCGGUGUCGGUACCACAUGCUCGGCCUGCACGAUCGGCUCGGGGCUUGCGACUGGUGAUGACAUCACGCGACGGUGACUUAACGCCACUUAGACAAACGACUUUGCUAUUUUGCAGUGUUUGUGUCCUGAAACUGAUGUUUACAAUAACGUUUAUUAAAAAGAAAGAAAUAAAAAAGUGUUGAGAUCUG